GGGAGCGCCGCCCCGGCAGCCGGGCCCCUCCUUCGGCGGGCGGCGGCGGCAGGAUGCGCGGCCCGGCCUGCGGCAGCUGUGAAUUCUUGUAGAAGAUUGAUAGCUCUGUCAACAUUUGCCCACGAUAGAAGAUGGGUGGAUUAAUUUCAAGAUGGAGGCAGGCAAAGCCUUCCACUGUAGAAGUAUUAGAAAAAAUUGACAAGGAAAUACAGACAUUAGAAGAAUUUAGAGAAAAAAAUCAGAGGCUACAGAAACUAUGGGUUGGAAGGCUGCUUCUCUACUCUUCACUCCUUUACCUUAUCACCUGCUUAAUCGUAUAUUUGUGGUGUCUUCCUGAUGAAUGGACAGCAAGGUUGAUUAUGACACUUCCAUUUUUUGCGUUUCCAUUGAUAAUCUGGUUUAUAAGAACACUGCUCAUUUUUUUCUUUUCCAAAAGGACGGAAAGGAAUAAUGAUGCGCUGGAAGAUUUAAAGUCUCAAAAGAAAAAAAUACUUGAGGAGGUAAUGGAGAAGGAAACGUACAAGACUGCUAAAUUAAUCCUUGACAGGUUUGAUCCAGAAUCAAGUGCAAAGGAGGCUGAACUGCCAUCUGCUGGAACAUCUGCAACCCCAAGACCUGGACAAGAAAUUCGUCAGAGGACCACAGCUCAAAGAAAUGCUGCUACGCCCACACCUGUGGCUCCUAAACAAGGCUCUCCAAAAUCACUGGUUCCAGCAUCUCCUAGUCUGCAGAGAGACGCAUCGGCUCUCAGCGGACCCCCAGAAAGAACCAUGGUGCCAUCCUUGCAGUCACCAAGACGCUCUGGAUCCCCUGCUACUUCAGUGCCUGGAAUGGGUCUUCAUCCUCCAGGCCCUCCUUUAGCAAGACCUAUUCUUCCUCGAGAAAGAGGAGUUGUGGAUAGAGUUAUUGAAUAUUUGGUUGGCGAUGGUCCUCAGAACAGGUACGCCCUUAUUUGUCAGCAAUGUUUUUCUCACAAUGGUAUGGCUUUGAAGGAGGAGUUUGAAUACAUAGCAUUUAGGUGUGCCUACUGCUUUUUCCUGAAUCCUGCGAGAAAAACUAGACCUCGGGCUCCACGGCUUCCAGACUUCAGCUUUGAAAAAAAGCAAUCUACAGAACUACGAUCUGAAACUGAGCUUCUAGAACCUAGAGAGAGAAAACCCCAGGAGGCUCAACAGACAGAAGAAUCUGAAGAAGACACGGCCCGUAUUGUUGAGACAAAUGAGACAGAUGAUAAAGCACCAAGUCCUGAGCAGCUAAAUGAUAAGCUAGCUGAAGAAGUUGAAAAAGAAGAAGCAGAAAACAUUUCAACAACUGAAGACUCUAUUUCGGAGUCUAUUCCAGCUGAACCAAGUGAAGAAUUUUUAAUGAAAGCAGAAUAAAGUACUUCAAGUGCCUUCUGUAGCUAGUUUUUUAGCUUUGUUCAUGCCUGUUGUUACUAUUCAGAGAUGCUGGAUUUGUAGAAAACUCAAGCAACAAAGACCUUCUAGCUCUCCUGAAAUGGUCUGCUCUCUAAUUCCUUGCAUCACCUCAAGGAGUUCUGCUCAGUUGAUGAAACUUAAUUUUUGACCUGUUCAGCACACAAAGAAAAACGUUUUUCAAAAACGCCGAGAAAAUGCAUUUUUAAGAAAACUCUUUUAAAUGCGGUUUUGAAAGAAAUCUGAAAGUUGUUAUUUCUUGAGGAAUGUUUGUACUUCUAUCUUGUAUGUUUUGUAUAUUGAGCUGUUAUUUAAACAGGAAAUCCUGUAUAUUUAUAGCUUAAAUUCUUAUUAUUGUGAUACCUCUGUUUUUGCUGUAGUAAGGGGAAUGUGUGUUUAUGUACUAUAAACAGUAUCUUUAAUCAGAAGUGUCAUUUUAAUCCUAGUUGUGGCCUUGACCAGUAGUUACAUCACCUGCAGUUGAAACUCCAUUAAAAUCAAUGGGAAAGAUGUUAAUUCGCGGGAAUUCUUGGGGUCUGGUAGACUUCGUGAAAUGUCUGUCUCAGCUUUUCUGCUUGUAAAAGAGAAAAUAUUUAAACUCCUGCUCCCGUUUUUAAAUUUGGUAUUUUUAAAGGAAAUUCUAAAGAUUAUGAAAUUAACUGGUAUAGCUUGUUGUUUGAACGUGUGCCGCCUUUGCUGUGUAUGUAAUUUCUUUGAGGAAAAACCUGGUUCUGAAAAAGCUACUGAAGAUUCGUCUGAUCUGGAUUAUGAUGAUGGCUGGGGUAAGAGGCUGCCCUUUGCGUAGCAGUGAUUUAUGGUUUUAAGGUGAUAAUUCUGUUUAGUAGUGCAUCCGGUGCUGGCUAUACUCAAAUCAAUUUGGAUUUCGUAGAUUAUUAUUUUUUUUUUUUUAAGGCUCUCAUAUGUUACCAAAACAAGGAUGAGGGUGCCCCAGCUUCUUCAGUGCAGCCCCCGCCCCCGAGUUGGACUGGCAUAUGUAGGAAAAGAAAGUGGUUCAAGGUUGAGUAGGUUCUUCUGAUAAGACCCAUUUAUCUGUGCUACAACCAAUUGUGAGAACUCCUGGCUCAUGCCACGAGCAGCCAGUGACCCACCAUGGAAGGGUGGGCUGGCAUACGACUGCAAAAUUCUGUGUGCACAGGGAAAGCCUGCCUUGUGACUCAAUAUUUAAAAAAAAAAAUUGUGUGGCAACUUCAGAGGGGACUGAAGAACUGUGAAGAUGCUGAUUCCAUAGGCGCAUACAUUUCAGGGUGGGUAUUUUUAUUCUAUCUAAAUGGUGAUUUAUGUCCUUAUUCCUGCAUUAUUGUCCACAAGGUACUGCCCUGUGUCACAGGCCUGUAUUACCUGAUUUUUUCAGACUGUUUCAUUUUCAUUAGUGCGGCUGCUGUAGCUUGUGAUCAGCGUACUGCACCUCAUUGAUAAUCUAAGAGAGUAUUAGAGGCGCAGAAGUGACACCUAACCCCGUCAGUCUGGCUUGAUUGACCCUGCAGCUUCCGAAACAUGGGUUCAUUUUUAUUUUAUUUUUUUUUUUUAAAAAACCCAAGUUAGCCCCACAUCCAUUUUCACACACGUUCCGGGCAGUUUAAAGGUUGGUCGGAAUCGAAUAUUGCUCUUUCAAAUUUGAUAAUGUAUGAGUACAGAACUGUGACCUUUGAUACGUAGUAAUACAUCAACAUGACACGAGCAGUAAGUGCCGCAAUUACCUUUACUACACUUGAGAUUGUGUUUUAGUCCUCAUCUUGUAAGCAAUUAUUUCAGGGGGAAAAAAAAAAAGGAUGCCUCUAAGUUAAAUAUAUUUUGCAAAUAGUGUAAAUGCAGAAAUUAAUCUUUGGGGACUUUUUGAUUUACAGGUGAAUGGUUUCAAAUGAAUCUUGGCUUUUAAAUUAACGUUGGUUCAGUGGUAGAAAGGAGUCUUGUGCCACUGGCUUCUUUUAUGAUACUUUUUUCUGGGAGAGUUUCUUUAACCCUUUUUGUUGUGUUCUAAUGUAAUCUUAACUUUCAUAUUCUGGUUUAUGGCUAAAGCCUGAUCCUGCGAGCAGGUGACGUGUCACUGCGUUCGCGUUGCUCCUGUGAUAAUAUCUGUCAGAGUUAGUGACGUGCAUGAUAGUAACGCAAGUUUACAUGCUUUUAAGUGCUGUUCAGAACAUACGAGAGUAUCUCAGACCUGCACCACGUACUGAUUUAAAAGGCUGUUUUAGCUGCUCCAGUGAUGUUUCAUCUUUUUCCUGAGCCCAUCCAAGAUACAUUUGGUUUAGUUUCCAAGCUUUCUUCCUCACCUGUUGUUAUAAAUUAUUCGGGUAAUGAUAGUGCGCAACCACUACCUGGUAGGCGCGAUAAAAACACAAAUCAAUACUCCUUGCCAGAGAGCAGAAAGCCUCGAGAGGACUGAUAGCGGCUUCUGUUCCGCGGACUAAAAAUCAGAAUAAAAUUACUGUGUCAUUCUGAGCAAGCAAUUUGAGUAACCGUUGAAUGGUGACUUUCUCUCAAUGCUGUCUGUCAUGACCAAAACUCGAAGGAAUAACUUGAAGCAGAACUUCUUGUUCUUCUGAAAUAUCUGCUUCCUCAGCGGCCGGGCGCUGAGCAGUGUCGGCGUGCUGGGGUUAGGCACUGAACUUUAAUUCAGGAGCUGGGAAAAUGCUCAUUUGGUUUUAUGUUGAGGUCGAAAUCAACACCUUUUGGAAUGGUUUUCUUUAAGCUGCCCAAAAAUGGAACGCCUAGACCCUGGUGAAUGGGACCUUGGUGGAGGAGGCGGCCGAGCCGGGUGGCUGAUGUGGGAUGGGGACUGGAUGGAGCCUGUCUCUCCCAGAUCCGAGCAGAGUGGCGAGUGCUUUCUCCAGAGCGGGUUUCUUCUGUCCACCUCCUGGCUGCGGAAAUUGCUCGUUGGCUGUACAUACACAUUGGUCAUAAAUUGCUAAUUAAAGCUUCAGCAAAAUGGACGAGUGUCUCUAACAGAGUUUCUCACUGCUUUUCUAGCAACGGUUAGAAAAUUCUUGACUUUCUGUGGUGCCGUUUGUUCUCUGGGAGGAGGAAAAGCGAAACAAAUGCAUUAGAUCAUCACAUUAAUUGCUCCUCGUCAAGCUCGCGGGUACACAAACUGUUUUGCAGAGCCACAAGGAAGGCGCUGCCCGGGGGAAAUUGCGCAAACGUUUCUGUGCUGUUGCUUUCAACCUGUGCCUGCAAGGGCACUUGGGCCCUUAUCUAUUUCAAAAUAAUGAUAAUAAAAAAAAUCAGCAAAAACCAAAACUUCAAGCGUUUGCAUGCUUUUAUUAAAUUUUAAAUGUUAAUAGUAGUAACUUAUUUUGGAAAAAACACCCAACCCCCCUUUGUGCAGCAUUUUCCAUAAAAAAAAAAGUAAAUAUUGUGUAUAUGGCAAUCUUGAGUCUAUGCCGCUGACUUUAGCGGAUGAGGGUGGUUACAACAGCUCAGUGUGGAAGUUUGUUUUUCGUCUGGGGCUCUGUUUGUAGGAAGUUCCUUAUGGUGAAAGGAUGCCCUUGUGCAGGUGGGUGGCUCCAUGGGUAGAGAAGUGCAUUUGUUACUUGGCUACAACGGCAACCACCGCAUCAGUAUUUGUUGAUUGUUGUUUGCUCAUGCUGAAUUUAUUACUUCUGGUGACAACUUAGGCAUCUUUAGUUCUCUGUAUUGUAUAUUAUUAACUAUUUUUAGUUUUUUUUUUUUUUAAAGAACUGGCAACACUGGUAUUCCCCAACAGUAGAAUCCCUUUUAUAGUGUCUGGAAAACAUUUCCUUUCUCUCGUAUUUUAGAGAAGUGAGUGAAGGUAAUAUUUUUUUUUUCCCUACUACAUUCCUACUACAGCAAUGUGACUAGAAUUAUUUAUUUCUCAAAAAUGCUCAGAUUUUUGUCUUGUUUCAGCUAUUUGGCUACAUCUGUGUGUUGCUGGGGCUUUUUUAAAGAGAUGGUGAAUGACAGCCUGGUGUUGCAGAAUGUAUCUUCUUUUUAAAGAAAGAAAAUUUUUUUUCUUCAAACUUGCCGGUUUGCAAUGGUGAAAUCCUCCUGGAUGGAGUCCGUUGGAUUAUUGAACAAAUAGCGAGCAGCUGAAAUUUAGGGACCCUUAAUGGAAAGUACUCAACUAAGACUGUGUGCAACUUACUGUGAUUACUCCUGGUAUACUAUAAUGUGGCGUUAUGUUCAUCUAGUCAUGGAGUUUGAUUUAUUUGAUUUUAGAAAUCUCAGAUUGUGUUAUGAGUAAGUGUAAUGAUUCCGAGAGCUGGAAUAUUGUUAGCCAUUGUGAACAGUACUGAAGGAGUCUCAGGAUGUAUAAUGUGAUAGAUGCAAUUUUGUUUGAAUUUUUUUUUUUGCCAAGGCCAAUUUAAUUUUGAUUUAUUUGCCUCAUUAACCCAAGGAUUCAGAAAAUUGAAUGCCACCUGAGUGAGGUAUUAUUAACACUAGUGAAAUAUCUUCAAAAUCGCUUCAUGCUUAUAAAUUGGUCUUUUGAAAGCUUUUUAAAGGCAUAAUGAUACUGUAGUGAAAAUGUACAGCAUCAUUUAAAAAUUGCAAAAUGCUUAUUUGAUUUCUGAAAUAAGACUUGGUCACCUGACUUAAAUGUAUACUGAUCUAUUAUUUAUGCUUUGAAAAUAGAGCUGAUAAAAAGCAUAAGUGUUCUUGAUAUUAUAUUUUGUCAUAUCUAGCUAAAAAGAUUGAAAUCCAGAGAAACAAUUUUCUGAAGAAAUGAAAUAGUAUGCCCUCCUGAACCCCUGGGGAAAAUAGCCUCUCUGUUUGCUCAGAAUAUGAAGCAGUAAAACAGUAUAAGUAAAACAGACAGCCCAUGUCACAUUCCUAUUUGUACAGUCUGGAAUGAUGUUUUAAAAACAUUUUCUAGUUAUUUUUGAUAAAUAAACGGUGCAAAUAACAUCUGCAAACCAACCCUGCUGAUGUAAGAUUUUUUUUCAGAUCAGAUUUGUUUCUCAGUGAAAGUCAGAAAAUUGCUUUGCAAAACUAAAGUUGGAUAACUCCCAAAAAUAUGCAUAACAAAUGUGCAAGAAUAUAUCUUGCUCUCUUUUUUGCCUCCCCUCCGAGAAGCUAAUGCUGAUUCUUCAUUAUCUUUGCUUCCGGGCUCAGAAGCUAGCUUGAUAAAAUUAUCAAACAUCAAAAAAGCUCAGUUGCUAAACACAGACGUGUUUAUAAGGUGUUAAAUAGCUGAACGCUCACGUUGGUAGUGGGGAAUCUGGCUGCCCUUUCGGAACAGUAUAUCCUGGUUAAAGCCUUGAGAUUUCCCUCAGAGCCACUGAAAGCUAAGCUUAAGGGUUAUAAGAGCCUUCCACAGGUGACGCACCCAAGGUCGGGGGUCUAAAGGACGUGAGCGUGCUGCCUGGCUCUUGCUUUCUGCAGGUUCUGCCGAAGGCUGUGGCACGCUGAGGAUGAAGGGAGGUUCCUCCAAGUCUUGUGGCUUCCAGAAGCUCACUCUUUAGAGCGGCGUCAGCAUCCUGGUGCUGAUUUCCUUCACUGACUGGAAGAUGGAAGAAAAUUCCCUGGGCCAGCAGGGUUGAGAAAUCCGCUGUCACAGCUCUACAAAUGCCCCGUUGCCCAAGACCGGACGAGGAAGCGGGGGUCUGUACAUCUCCCAGAACACUGCUUGUGGAGGGAGUGGGCUUCCAGCUGCGUUUGAGGAAUGUAUGUCUUCGAGGCGCUCUUGCUGUGCUUUGGACUUCUCUGCGGAGUUGGUUAAAACCGACUUUAAAUGGUAUUUUUGUAAGGGUUUGCAGUCAAUGGACUCCAUUGCAGUCAAUGGACUCCAUCUCGGGCUGAAUUCUGUGAUACUCCCACAGAGUACAAGAUGCAUGUAUUUUGUAAAUAUCUAUGGGUUUAAUAGUGACUAAAAAAAGUGUGUGUUUUUAUUUU